CCUACGGGAGGCAGCAGUAGGGAAUAUUGGUCAAUGGGCGCAAGCCUGACCCAGCAACGCCGCGUGAAGGAAGACGGCUUUCGGGUUUUUAACUUCUUUUUUCAGGGACGAAGCACGUGACGGUACCUGACGAAUAAGCCACUGCUAACUACGUGCCAGCAGCCGCGGUAAUACGUAGGGGGCAAGCGUUAUCCGGAUUUACUGGGUGUAAAGGGAGCGUAGACGGCAUGGCAAGUCUGGAGUGAAGGGCGGGGGGUCAACCCCCGCACUGCUCUGGAAACUGUACGGCUGGAGUGCCGGAGAGGUAAGUGGAAUUCCUAGUGUAGCGGUGAAAUGCGUAGAUAUUAGGAGGAACACCAGUGGCGAAGGCGGCUUACUGGACUGUAACUGACGUUGAGGCUCGAAAGCGUGGGGAGCAAACAGGAUUAGAUACCCGAGUAGUC
rnacentral:rRNA from 1 species